UCCUGACAGUUUAGAGUUUUUUUAGGUGCUGUUUAGGUUUUUUUUUAGGGUGCUGCACUGCCCAACCCUCCUGCAUGAGCAGAGUGUCACCGGGGGCCAACAUUACAGGAUGGAAUACAUCCUCCUCCAAGGGACAGGUGUCCCUGAUACCUGCUCUUUAGUCCCAGCCACAGGGACAAUGUUUCAAGUGGAAGUUUGCACAUGGCUGGAGAGAAUCCAUGGAAAUCUUGGUAAAUGCUUUGCCAUUUUAGGUACAGAUGGAGCUUUUGUUAAUGCCUUGGGGCUGGGUGAUGGAAGCUGAAGAAGAUUUACUCUUUCUUUGCUGACAGAACUCUGAAAUAUUUGGAUGAGCAUGGAGAUUACUUCUAUCAAGCUGAAAAGUCCAGGGUUGUGUAAUAUGUGUGGACUCUUGACACUGAGGAAUUAUCUGACACUUUAGAGGGGAAGAAAUCAUAUAUUCAGGACAGUGCAAAUGUUAUGCUGAAGACUUGAAUUUAAGUGCAUGCAACAGUGAUAAAAUAGCAGAGUCUGUAUCAAGAUGACAAAAUUUCUAUGUUUGUAAUCUCUGUGUAAAAAUGAAAAGGGGUUUCCAGUUUACCUGUGGCCAGAGAGAGAGUUUCACCUGAAAACCAUUGUGCCCCUGUUUGCCCACAACAGAGAACAGUGGCACUUGACCUUGGAACCACUAUGUUCCCAAUUUCUGUGUUUAUCAAACAUAUGCUGGCAGGCCACAAUCAGAAAAUGUAAAGUCUGACCAUGAAAACUGUGCCUCCAAACCAAGCAGGUGCAAACUAGUACCUUUGAUUUCUGUGUUUGCUAGAAAGUAACCCAAAGCAGGGGAGCGAACAUUGCCGCUAGGGCUCACGCCCUCAGCGCCUGGAUGCCCAGCCGGCAGCGCUCACAGUCAGCUCCAGGCGGCUGGGCUGGAGCAGGGCCUGACUCAGGGCCUGACUUCCCCCCUCAGCUGCUCUGCAAAGGGGUGCCCGUGUUCUGGAGGACAGCGAGCUCAUGCGGGGUGCACGGUGCCCAGGCAGCUCUGCCCCUUCUCCUGAGCCGCAGACCAGGCCGCGGCUGGGGCUCUGGCCAGGAUCGUGGCGGAUCUCGGGUCCAUUGACUUCAGCAGAUGAUUGACACCAGAUGGCCCACCAUGUUUGAUAUUAUUACAUUAAGGUAUUAGCAUAUGUAUAAUUUUAUUUGUACUUUUCUUUAUCAGUAGUAUUUUCUUUCUGCUUCAGUUGACUUUUUCAACCUUUAUUCAGGGGGAUGAAAUACAUUCCAUGUGAAUAAACAUCUUCCAUGAUGGAUAAAUAUCA
rnacentral:lncRNA from 1 species